rnacentral:lncRNA from 10 species
UGAGUUUUCUUCAAGGCACUGGUCAUUACCUGAAAUUAUCCUCAUUUUACAAAUGAAGAGACUGAGCCACAGAAUGAUUAAGCAACUUGCCCAAGUUCACAUGGCUUCCAACAGCAGAGCAGGGCUAGAACCCAGGCAGAACAAAACAGCCUCAGAGACCGUGCUCAUACCUGGGUGUCCCCUUGCCUCUCUUGCUGCUAUUCUGUGAUCUCUGUUGGAUAGGGAGCAGUUCCUGGCUCUGUCGAAUUUCAUUAGGUGCAAGGUGCAGGGCCAGCCUGCAAGGUGCAGGAGAGCAACUGGACCAAUGAGGGUUUCCAUGCCAACCUGAAGAGGUUGGUCUUUAUUCUCAGGAGUGUUGGUCAUUCACUGAUGUCGGUGGGGUGGGGGAGCUGGUGGGAGGACUGAGGGCGAGGGGUAUUAGUAAACAUGAAGCGAAGGCCUCGGGAUGGUUGUUAAACAGAGAGCCGGGCUGAAUCAGGCGAGGCCGGAACACCUGCCAUGUGUCCGAUGCCCAGAGCGCCCGGGCGUGUCCCUGAGGCCUGGACACUCCCCCUGCGAGCCGUUUCCAAACCAAAUGAGAUGAAGACACACAAAGAACAAAUGCCUUCGGCACCUACUGACAGCGGAGGGGCUCCCGGGCGCGACUCAGGGACAGCUCCUCCGGCUUUACCUUCGGAGCUUGUGGUUUUGCUUACAGGGGUUUUUAAAAAUUUCUGCGUGUGCAGGUGUUUUCUUUUUGUUAGUUUCAACGCAGCCGCAACUUGCCUCUGACAUUUCAAAGUGAUGGAGGUGCCUUUUCUUCCCGCCACCCUCUCUGGUGCUUCCUGCGCGUCGCGCAUCUCGGGCUCUGAAG